AACGAACGCUGGCGGCAUGCCUAACACAUGCAAGUCGAACGAGACCUUCGGGCUUAGUGGCGGACGGGGGCGUAACGCGUGGUAACCUGCCCUUGGGUUCGCAAUAAAUCCCCGAAAGGGGUCCUAAUACCGGAUAAUGUAUUCGGACCAUAGAUUUGUCGCCUUUGGAUGGGCCUGCGAUGGAUUAGCGAGUUGGUAGGGUAAAAGCCUAUCAAGGAGUCGAUGGAUACGUGGUUUGAGAGGAUGAGCAGCUACACUGGAGCUGAGACACAGCCCAGACUCCUACGCGAUGGAGCAGUGGGUAAUAUAGGACAAUGGACUAAGGCCUGAUCCAGCAAUGCGGCGUAAGUGAUGAAUGGCGUAGGGAAGUGAAGUUCUUUUACCCGGGACGGUAAUGACGGUACCGGGAGAAUAAGCUCCGGCUAACUCCGUG
rnacentral:rRNA from 1 species